AUUCUGUUUAAGGGCCAAUUUGUAUCUAGUUUUCAGUGAUUCUGGUGAACACGAUUCUCAAGCCGCAAACCUGUCACCACGUGUGCAGCUGGAUAGUCGACAUGUGCACGAGCAGCUGUGUUGACAAGAUGGUGGUCCUCAGCGCUCUGAGGGUCGAUGUCCCGUCCAGUCACGUGUCCAGUCACGUGGCACGUGCUACCAUCUACGAGAAGACGAUCAACGAUAUGCCACGUCAUAAGAUUAUUUCAGAGAACCAAUAAUGAUGCGACAAAAAUCAGCUUUGAUGAGGAUUUCUCGUUUGAAUUGGUUU